UACGGAAGAUGGCGUUUAAGACCCGCUGAUCUUAUUUGACACCACAAAAUUAUCUCUUACACGAAAAAGGGGGGUGAGGAGAUUGCAAGCCAUUGAGUUCGUGCCGGUGCAGAUGAGAAGGCAGCAUGGCCAGAGUAAAUAGUUGAAAUUUUCUUUCAAAGUUCCGUAGCAGCAUAAAGAACUGCUCACUUGACGAAUCAUGUAAAAGAACUCGCCUAGAUUAUUAUGGUUCGAGCGAACACGGCAAAUCUAAGAUGUGAUGGCUUUGGUCUUGAGGAGAGAGCUACUAGUAAGGGUGAUGAACUUCAAUGUCAUUUUUGAUCAGCUUAUCAACUCCUCCAUUAUCAGCUAGGCCUUUAUGGCCUGGCAUUCAGAUGAACUUGGGUUUAGGAAGAAGAGAUGAGGUCUCUUUUUGGAUAUCUAUUCACCAUAUCUGAUAGAAAUUGAAGCGGAAAGGAAGGACAAAAAAGUAAUAGCUGAUAAGUUCUAGUCCUUCCCUGAAGAUGUUAGAGAUUGACUACUACAGAGUUGUUAGUAAAAUAGAAUCUCACAUGCCUGCAUGCCCUUUUCUCAAGGGGUAGAGAAAGCCUAUAAAGGUUUUCUCCAAUUAAAAAAAAAGUAAAAAUGGAAGCAUGAAUGUUGAUACUCUACAUUUCUACCCUACCAAGCUUGGCAUAGAUCCAAACUGUUCCAAUGAAGGUGCCUGUGGGUAUUUUUGAUCUCUCCAUAAAAAAUGUGUGAGUUGCGAAAUUGUGUCUCAGAAUUGUGAGACAGAGGAGUAGUUGUAUGAUCUGUUCCAGCAAUCUUUACUUUUAUCAAGGAGAGGUCUCAAAGUUUUGCUGGAUUAUACAGAUUAGGAGGUUGUUUUGGUGGUACAUUCAUGGCUUCAGAUUGUUUAUGCUGUUCAGAUAUUCAGCAUGAAGAGCUAACGGUGGGAUUUUGGCAUCAGCAAAUGUAACAUUGAUUCAAGUGGAAUUUCUCAGGUCUAUAGACAGUUUAGCUGUUGCUGUUUGAAUUCUUUCCAGUUUUUGGAGGAGACGGUGUUGUUGAAGAAAAAAGAUAUAUGAGCAGUACUCUAUUUUAAACUAGACGAGGCUUUUGUAGAUGAUUAGAAGA